GCACACCAUCGCAACUAAAAGGGUAACACCCCUUUUCCUUCCUCAUUUACAUGUUCAAAGGGCCAAAUGACCCUUAGGGGUUUUCUUUCCCUCAUAAGCAAUGGAAACCAUAGCCGCCCCUUAAUCUUUUUUUUCUCUCUUACGUCGUUUGCCGGAAAUGGCAAUGGUUGCGCGCCCUCAAAGCGUCCUAUGGACUCGAUGCGGUUGAAAAUGGCAAGAGCAUUUAUUUCUCUGCCAUUUUCAACCAAUACCACCGCAUAUCAACACAAACGAGGUAUUAUCUUCCCCCUUUUUGUGCUUUUUCAGCAUUUCAACGGUCAUAGACUGAAUUUUCUUAAUUGUUUUUGUUUUAUUACGAUUUUGAAUCCACGAUUUUCAUUGGUUCGUGAGUAACCGAGUGGAUCGAUCGAUUGGGGUUCAAAUCUGACCCUUCAUGUGUUUUUCUACUCGAAUCUUGACCUUUGAAUGAGAGAUGAGGUGGCAAUUCUUAGAAAUUGCACUUGUCCCACAUCGGUUGAAGUUAGGGUUUCUCAAUUUUUGGGGUUAUAUAAAUAGAACCCCCAAUUCACACUUUGCAUACACUGAAUAUACUAGAUAUUCACAAAAAACUCGAAAUACUUAAGUUUUUGGCAUUUUCGCUUUAAAACUUUGAUUGUUCGAGUUAAGUUAAUUUUUUUAAAUAUUUUCAUUGUUCUUGUGUGGGUUUUUCUUGAGCAUUCGGGGUUAAAGAAGCAAAAAUCUUCCAAGUUCGAGUCUCUACAAGCGACUGCACUCACAAAAGCAACAUUCAACACUGGUGAAGUUUCACUUCUGGUUCCCUCUACAUGUUCCUUCAAUUGGGCCACAGUUUGAUCCAAUCUCUUCAAUGAAGCUACCUCUCCUCCAGCAUAGGCAACUGGAAUCUACAUAUCAUCCUGAAAUAAAAAGGACUAAGCUUUUGGAUGAGAAAGAAGAAGGUGUCGACUGUUAGCUCUACAUUCCAUGCUUAGUUUCACUAAAGAUUUCGAAAGUGGAAUCGCUCGAGGUGGAGUAACAUUUUGAGUGUAAGAGGAGUUGAAGAGGAUCAAUAUGGUACUUUAGGAAUUCAAUGUAUUGGGAAAACUUAACUAUUUAAGUUACUGGCAUACAUGAGUUUUUCACCUUUCUCAGAUUUAUAAAUGCCAAAGAAAGAGAAACGGAGCUUGGCUCUUGCGUGCGUUUUGAUAACCUGCUACAGUGUUAUCGAAAGAGAGACGGCACGAUUUUUUGGGAGUAGAGGAAGGUUGAAACGAGGUGUUGCUGAUUCUCUGUUUAGAUACGCAUGUGCAUAUUUUCUGGUAGCAGUUUUAAGAGGGAACUCAUUAUCUGGAAUUUCUUCGUGAACUCUUGCAAUGGUGUCUUAUUGAUCCUUGACAAGAAGGGUCUAAAACCUCUAUUUCAGUUUUUUAAUCUUCAAGUUGAUAUUGCAGUGCAGUGUUCUUCCCACUCUGAGCCGAGGGUCUAUCGGAAACAGACUCUCUACACUACAAAGGCAGAGGUAAUAUGACGCUCCUCCUAUGAUGUUGUUUUCAGAAUAGAGAGACUUAGGCUACUAGGCUCCCCACUAAAGCUGAUACUCAGAGCCUCAGAGGGAAUGAUGGGUUGGAACAUUUGUAGGAUGUGCUUGAAGACAAACAGUUCCUAUAUUUUGUUGGCGUUAUAUCUUCAAUAAUUGAUUGUAAUAAUUGGUAGAUACAAGGUUCUUAUGUUAUGUUUGAAAGAUACUGUAUAGAAAUGUCUACUAUGCACAAGAUGCAACCAUCUUGCUGUGGAAAAGAUGUACCAAAACGUUUAAUGCUUAUGUUUAUGUAUGUAUUUUCAUUUA